UUCCAUAUUCCUCUCCUCCUCUCUGUCGAUUUCAUCUUCAGUGGUUUGAGCUUGAGUAUCCCGGGUUUAGUUCGUGUAAAGCUUGUAGUUGUUGAAUUGAGGGUGAAGGUGAUGAUGCUGUUGUCGAUUGGGUGUUGGAAGAAGCAGAAAGUUGGGGUUUGAGAAAUAAUCGAGUUAUGGUUUCAAUUGAGGUUCAAAGAAGAAUUAGAAGAUAAAGAUGAUGGUUUAAGAGAUUGAAUUAAGAUGGUUUUAUCAUGGAUUAGAAUAUGAAGUUGAACAUUGGUUUGAAUUUGAUAUUUAGGGUUUCUGCAGUUGGCUUUUAUUACGUGUGAGAUUGAAGUUUUUUUUUGAAAUUAAAGUUGAUGAAUUGUAACUGAUGAAGAUCUAGGGUUUGAUUAUCGUAUUAAGAAUAUGAUGGAGUUAUCAGUGAUGGUGAUUCAGAUGUUGAAUCGAACUCAGGAGAAGAAUAGAAAAGGUGCCAGUGAGUACUCUUUGUGACAGUUGCUCUUGGAUUUGGAUAUGGGUACAUUUCGAUACAUUUGGUUGUGUAUUUUCAGAUGCUAAGAGGAUUCUCUUAAAACAAAUAAGCAGCAAGAUGAAGUAGAUUAAGUUCAAGUCUGACAUGGGAGCCUUUGAUGCGCAUCAAAGGAAAGUAGAAAAGUAGCAUUUCGGGGUGAGGUGUUGUUGUCGGUGUUACUAUGGUUGUGCUUGUAGAUGAGGCAUACGCCUAAGGCACUUCAUCCAAUAUUAAAAUGCAUUUUAAUCCUUAAGAAAUUGGUGCUGGUAGUCGUCAAGGCUUACCCCGAUAUACAGAAUUAGAUGAUGAUUAUCUUUUAUUUUCAUUUAUUACUGAUGCAGAAAACUUUAACUGAAGCCAAUGAUGCAAAAACUGGAGGAAAUAAGCUUUUUGGGUCUGGGCAGUAUUAAGAUGCCUUGUUGUUAAGUGUAUGAGCUUGCGUUACAGGUUGUUACAUGUCAUGGAAAUAGAGAUGCUUGCUUCUCGAAUUCGGGUAAAUAUGAGGAGACUAUUAAGGAAUGCGACAAAGCUUUGGAGUUAAAUCCUGCAUAUAUGAAAGAUAUGAUUAGAGAGUGUAGGCUCACGAAAAGCUUCAACACUUUGAAGAAGCUAUGCUAGGUCUGAAAUGUUAAUAAAUUUUCUCCAGACAUAGUUUUGCACUAAUCAACUUAUGAUUUUUAUUUACUAUUUUUCUUUUCUUUCAAACAUGAAAAAAACUGUGGAGUUGGAUCCUUCAAAUAAUCAAGCUAGAAGAUCCAUUGUACGCUUGGAGCUGUUAGCUGCAGAAAAACGGGAAAAGAUGAAAGAGGAGAUGAUUACUGGAACUGGCAGCUUACAGGCUGGCGCAAUCGUAGCUUUGAGAUUUAGUGGGGACUUCAUAGUAUAGUGUUGAAUCAGUACCAAGUGUUCAAGGAAGCUACACUAUUGCAACUCGAAGCCAAAAUGGAAGCCGCAUCAGAAGAACCAGUUCACAAGUACGAGUUACUUAUAUUCUUCGUAUAUGUAUGUUUGUUCUCUUACUUUUGAAACUAAACUAAGUUAAGAGUAUUGAUUGAAAUCUAGAGGAAAUGUAGUUACAAAUGAUAAGCAUAUCAAUAUUAGAAUUUGAUUGAAUGAUUGAAUCACA